AUGGAUGUUGAAAAUUGCAACUGUCUAGGUUCAAGAAACAGAAACACUUUGUCAAGUUAUGAGAGAAUUGACCAUGACCCUAUUGUAUGUGUCAAUGAAUUUAUGGGAAAAAUCAAGAUAGCAAGAUUGAAAACACUAUGGAGGAAGAUCAAGAGAGAAAAGAAGAGGAGAAUAUUUAGAUCAUCUUCACCUAUCUUUCUAUAUGAUCCUAACUCUUAUUUACAGAAUUUUGAUGAUGGUUAUAUCAAUGACCUCGAUCAUUUUUCAUGUUCAUUCUCCGCUCGAUUUGCAGCACCGAGCUCCAAAAAUUGUGUGAAGAAUAUUCAAGUGAUGAAUGAUGAAAGCUAG
rnacentral:lncRNA from 1 species